UACGAAGGGGGCUAGCGUUGCUCGGAAUCACUGGGCGUAAAGGGUGCGUAGGCGGGUCUUUAAGUCAGGGGUGAAAUCCUGGAGCUCAACUCCGGGUCGGCCGUCGAGACUCCUGGGCUCGAGCUCACUAGAGGCAGAUGGAAUUCCGGGUGUAGCGGUGGAAUGCGUAGAGAUCCGGAAGAACACCGGUGGCGAAGGCGGCUCACUGGCUCGUAACUGACGCUCAGGCGCGACAGCGUGGGGAGCGAACAGG
rnacentral:rRNA from 1 species